GAUCUCCUAGAACUUGCUUGCAUGUGUAAGACUGUGGUUUGCUGCAGGGUCACUCCACUCCAGAAAGCCCAAGUGGUAGAGCUGGUGAAGAAGUACAGAAAUGCUGUUACUUUGGCCAUUGGUGAUGGAGCCAAUGAUGUCAGCAUGAUUAAAAGUGCUCACAUUGGUGUUGGCAUCAGCGGCCAGGAAGGAUUACAAGCAGUCUUAGCCAGCGACUAUUCAUUUGCACAGUUUAGAUAUCUCCAGAGGCUUCUCCUUGUUCAUGGAAGGUGGUCUUAUUUCCGAAUGUGCAAAUUCUUAUGCUAUUUCUUCUAUAAGAAUUUUGCGUUCACACUUGUGCAUUUCUGGUUUGGUUUCUUCUGUGGUUUCUCAGCCCAGGAUCCAACAUAUUGAAGCAGAUGAGAAGUAAGAGGAUGGACAUCCCAGCAGAGGAGACAACAGGAGGAAAGUUCCAGAAGUGAAGAAUAGCUUGGGCAGGAACACAAGCCAUCAGUCAGAUGCCAUCAUCAAUGAGUUGAAGAUUUGUGUCAGCUGCUCUGCUUU
rnacentral:sRNA from 1 species